UGUCUUGUGGUUUGGAAGAUUAUUCUUA
rnacentral:piRNA from 1 species